rnacentral:lncRNA from 1 species
AAAUAAAUUAUUAUAUAUAAUAAAAUAAAAUAUAUUAUUUUAAAUUAGAUUCUUACAUAAAAUAUUAUAUUAUAAAUUACUAUAUGAAAUAAUUUUAUAAAUAAUUUUAUAUAAAAUAUACUAAUAUAAAUUAAUUAUUUUAUUUUUUAAAAUAUAUUUAGACAUUAUUCUAGACUUUUUAUCCAAACGCUACUAAAGAUAUCCUCUAGAAUAUUCUUGAAUGCAUCCAAAUACAAAUUUAUAAUUGUUCUAUUUUGUACCCGAAUAUCUCAUAUUCUUGAAAAUAAUAAAAAUUGUUCUUCAAAAUUUAGUUCUCCAACCAAACGCAGCCUAAAUGAAAAAGGAAUCCGAAAA